UACGAAGGGAGCUAGCGUUGUUCGGAAUCACUGGGCGUAAAGCGCACGUAGGCGGAUGUGUCAGUCAGGGGUGAAAUCCUGGAGCUCAACUCCAGAACUGCCUUCGAUACUGGCGAUCUUGAGUCCGGGAGAGGUGAGUGGAACUCCGAGUGUAGAGGUGAAAUUCGUAGAUAUUCGGAAGAACACCAGUGGCGAAGGCGGCUCACUGGCCCGGUACUGACGCUGAGGUGCGAAAGCGUGGGGAGCAAACAGG
rnacentral:rRNA from 1 species